rnacentral:rRNA from 1 species
UACGAAGGGGCUAGCGUUGCUCGGAAUCACUGGGCGUAAAGGGUGCGUAGGCGGGUUUUUAAGUCAGAGGUGAAAUCCUGGAGCUCAACUCCAGAACUGCCUUUGAUACUGAAAGUCUUGAGUAUGGGAGAGGUGAGUGGAACUGCGAGUGUAGAGGUGAAAUUCGUAGAUAUUCGCAAGAACACCAGUGGCGAAGGCGGCUCACUGGCCCGAUACUGACGCUGAGGCACGAAAGCGUGGGGAG